UGUGAUGUAGCUCAGUUGGUAGAGCAGGGUGCUGUUAACACCAAUGUCGGGGGUUCGAGUCCCUCCUUCACAGCCA
rnacentral:tRNA from 1 species